UAGUCCUAGCCGUAAACGAUGGGCACUAAGUAGGGGGCUCCCAAGGCCUCCCUGCCGGAGCUAAUGUGUUAAGUGCCCCGCCUGGGGAGUAUGGUCGCAAGGCUAAAACUCAAAGGAAUUGACGGGGGCUCACACAAGCGGUGGAGCAUGUUGUUUAAUUCGAUGCAACGCGAAGAACCUUACCUGGGCUUGACAUGCACGUAGUACCAAACCGAAAGGGGCGGGACCUUCUCUGAAGGAGCGUGCACAGGUAUUGCAUGGCUGUCGUCAGCUCGUGUCGUGAGAUGUUGGGUUAAGUCCCGUAACGAGCGCAACCCUUGUCCUUAGUUGCCAGCGGGUAAAGCCGGGGACUUUAAGGAGACUGCCGGUGUUAAACCGGAGGAAGGCGGGGAUGACGUCAAGUCAUCAUGGUCCUUACGUCCAGGGCGACAAACGUGCUACAAUGGUCGGGACAAUGGGCAGCAAAGCCGCGAGGUGGAGCAAAUCCCAAAACCGGCCCCAGUUCGGAUUGGAGGCUGAAAUUCGCCUCCAUGAAGUCGGAA
rnacentral:rRNA from 1 species